GUUAAUGGUGUUUUUCACAUGCAUGCUUUUUAAUGCUAGUUUAAUUCUCAAAUUGAUCUGAUACUUUCGUUUCACAAAAAGUAAACAUUUGUUCACUUUUUUAGGGCCUGACAAGCACCAGUUGAGUCCAUGAUUCAGGGAAGAGACAGUCUGGGCAGCAGCAACAAGACAACUAUUACAAGUAGAGAUGGGUUUCAAGAACUGACACAACCACAUAUCCUCCAAAUCAUCUCUGCGUGGAUGGCAGCAAGGAUCCAGGAUCAAGAGAUCAUUCUUCAUGGAGACUGUUCCACAGGAAGCAGUUUCUCCUGGGUGAAAAACUAAACCUGGUUGUUUCAGCAUCACUCA